GGAACUGUGCCUGAAUUAAAGGUUUACUUUGAUAGAGUGAAACAUGAGGGUUGAAAUCCCUCCGGCUCCU
rnacentral:tRNA from 1 species